AGUAACGGCGAGUGAAGCGGUAAUAGCUCAAAUUUGAAAUCUGGCCUCUCGGGGUCCGAGUUGUAAUUUGUAGAGGAUGUUUUGGGUACCGCCCCGGUCUAAAUUUCUUGGAACAGAAUGUCAAAGAGGGUGAGAAUCCCGUCUUGGGACUGGCGGUAGGGCCUGUGUAAAACUCCUUCGACGAGUCGAGUUGUUUGGGA
rnacentral:rRNA from 1 species